AAUUGUUACUGUGAAAUAAUCAGAGAGAUUGAUAGGGCACUAAACCACGUAAAGGUGGACGCAAGGAAUCAGACAACUAUGGCUGAUUUCAAACUACAAUGUGAACUGGGUGCUGGUGCUUUUGGCCAGGUAUAUCGGGCACAACACAGAGAAACCAGGAGAAUUGUAGCCAUCAAGACUCAACCAAAGGCUGCAGUCAAAACUAUAUUUAAAUAUAGAAGCAUUCUUCUGGAGCAGCGCAUCCUUCUUAUGGCAAAGCAAAAGCAGAAUCCUUUUGUUGUCGGUUUAUU